GGCUCGGCUCCGGGGGGCGGGGGGGGUGGAGCCGGGGGAGCAGCGCCCGGCGGCGGCGGCGGCGGGAGGCACGGUUGUAGCGGCGGCGGCGGCGGCGGUCUGGGCGGCAGGGGUGUCUGGCCCCCGCCAUGGAGGGCAUGGACGUAGACCUGGACCCGGAGCUGAUGCAGAAGUUCAGCUGCCUGGGCACCACCGACAAGGACGUGCUCAUCUCCGAGUUCCAGCGGCUGCUCGGCUUCCAGCUCAACCCGGCCGGCUGCGCCUUCUUCCUGGACAUGACCAACUGGAACCUGCAAGCAGCUAUUGGAGCCUACUAUGAUUUUGAGAGUCCAAACAUCAGCGUGCCCUCUAUGUCCUUUGUUGAGGAUGUUACCAUAGGAGAAGGGGAAUCGAUACCUCCUGACACCCAAUUUACAAAAACAUGGCGGAUACAAAACUCUGGAGCAGAGGCUUGGCCACCAGGGGUUUGUCUUAAGUAUGUUGGGGGAGACCAAUUUGGACAUGUGAACAUGGUGAUGGUGAGAUCGUUAGAACCUCAAGAGAUGGCAGAUGUCAGUGUCCAGAUGUGCAGUCCCAGCAUAGCAGGAAUGUAUCAGGGACAAUGGCGUAUGUGCACUGCUACAGGACUCUACUAUGGAGAUGUCAUCUGGGUGAUCCUCAGUGUGGAGGUGGGAGGACUUUUAGGAGUAACGCAGCAGCUGUCAUCCUUUGAAACUGAGUUCAACACGCAACCGCACCGCAAGGUAGAAGGAAACUUUAACCCAUUCGCCUCUCCGCAGAAGAACAGGCAACCAGAUGAAAACAACUUAAAAGACCCUGGGGGUUCCGGGCUAGGCACUAUCAGCAAAAACACAUGGGCUCCUGCUCCUGACCAAAUUGAACAAGAUCAAAACGGACUGUCACAAAACUCUGUAAAUCUCUCCCCCAGCAGUCACUCAAACAACUUAUCGGUAGUGACUUACAGUAAGAUCAGGAAAUCGAGGCCUACAGUAGUCAGAGAAGAUUUAAUAGAAAAGGAAUUGAAGAAGGAUAUAAGAGGGGAACUUCAAAAGGAGAGGAACUUGGAUCUCCAUCGGCCAACAGACCUUCAGACUAGAUCCUCUCCAUUGGGUUUCCACCCCAGCGGGACUCGACAGGUGUUUGGAUCCAGUUCUUACUCCCAUUCUAGUGUUCUCCCCUGCCCUAUGGGUAGAGAAAAGGCCACCAGGGAGCUCUGCCAUUAUCCCACCUGGAGUCCAGCACACUUCACUGUUGGAGAACCGUUUUGUUUUUGGUUUUGGUUGUUGUUUUUUGUUUUUGCAUUGUUCCAAACAGUUUGAAGAGUGCACUUUCUAAACUUUUUACUUGGAGGGGUGUGUCUAACCCAGCUGGAAGCUUCCUGGUCUUCUUGUAGACCUUUAAACAACUUGUUCUCAUUCAAGUUAGUGUUUGAGUUUUAUUCUUCAGAGUGCUUUUCUUGAAACUUAAAUGGGUGGGGGAGGGCUUCUCCACAAGGGUAGGAUCUGCUCUGCCCCUUUUGGGUUGGGGAUGUCCAAGUUGACUCUGGGAGCUGCCUUUGACCAUGGGGAUUCUGGAACACAUGAGUGAAUCCGAGGGGACUGACUGCCCCCAGCAGGGUUGAAGAAGUUAGUUGGCAGCCACAGAAGAACUGCUGUAGGCGGGGUUCCACGGCCCUUAUCCUUUUGGACAGUCGUAAAACGGGUUUCAUCGUGAAGAGAAAUUUACAAAGAAGGAUUGACUUUGGGUGGGGAGGGCAAGGGGUUCCUUUGGAUUCCAGACAACACAAUAUGGACCUCUGGCUCUGACUCCACAUCCUGGAUGAAGAGGAAUCUAAACAGACUAGUUUCAAGUAAACUCCGUAUGCAUGUGUGAAUGCUGAAUUGCGGGAAUGCUGAUUGAGGCUACAGAGAAGAAAUCCUCACGGUCAAGCUGUGUUAUGGGAAGGGGGGAGGGGCUUUUUUCUUUUUUUUUUUUUUAAGGUAACACAAGUAAUUAGAUUGCUUGGAAGGGGAAAAAGGUUUAGAAGUGGGAGAGAGAAAAAAAGCCAUCUUUUUAAACAAAACUUAUUUUGCCUAUAGAGAGGCUGUUGUUUUGAGAAAAUGUUAAGUUGUUUUUGAUUUGUUUUCCCACCCCCCCUUCUCUCCCUGUUCUCCAACCUCAUUUUUAAAAAACAAGGGGCAGCAUGCGUGGUUUGGAUUGGCUAUUUUACUCCUUGCUCUGAGCAGGGGCAGAUUGGAAAGCUCGAGUCAAGCGUGUGUUUUGGGAGUCUGUGUAUCAUUGCAGCGAGUGUUUUAUGUGUUGUUUAAUGUGAGGUCAGAGCAGGUGCUGACCUUGUGUUUUGAAUGGCAUCAGCCAUUUACUUCUCCCCCUCCCCCCCUUUAAUCUUCUUGAUUUACCCUUUUGGCAUUUGAAUUAACCGACCUGUGGCUCUUUUUCACCAAAAAACCUCUCUGGAGACCACUUUCCCCAUGUCUUCAACAGAGGAGGCCUCUGGAACAGGCCUCAGAUGGUGGAGGUCUUUAUUCAUCUGAAGGUAUCCCUGGCACACAUGGGUGCACACGCACGCACGAGCACUCUGAAAUCUGGAGCAAGAAACAAAAUUGCUUUUCUUCUACAUUUCUCUUAUUAUAGAGAAAUGUUGUCCACAGGUGAAAUUCUGUUUAGGGUCAUGCAUUGACUUUCAGUAACAGGGUAUAGAUUCCAUGCCCUUACAUUCUUCUCCCCCCCCCCAAAAAAAAAGCGUGUAUGUUUCUUGGUGUAAUUCAUCAGCUAGUGUGUAGUGUGUAAGUUUUAAGGUGUCAUGUAUUUCUGUUUUCCUCCCCUGUAUUUUCCCUCAAGUCCUACUUUGUGAUGUGUUCACAGCCAGCCUGUGGAGGCUGAGCUGCUGCUGUCUGGAAAUAUUGAAACUAGAGCCGGAAGUGUAAUCAGCCAUAGGGGAGAGCCACAUUCAGUCACUUCUCAGUUUUAGAGGCCACAUUAGUCUGGAAACGAGAGAUCUUCUGGGCAGGGUGCUUUGUAGAAGUGGCUGGGAACUAGGGUUAAUGGGCAGGGGAGGGGGUGGGGUGGGGUGGGGUGCGGGAAUUACAGCCAGAGCUGGAGCCCAGCUGCUGGCUGUACGUCUGUUUCAGGCUCAAAUCACUGCACUGCCCUAGCUGCCUGUUGGCUCUGGGACGUGUAGGAUAUGGAUAUCCCAGUGGGAAGCUUGAACCAGGCUAGAACAGCUGUCUGCCAAAGAUACAAGAAUAUGCAAAGUCCUCUUCCGGCCCCUUCUUCCUUACCCCCUCCAAACCCUCUUCCCCAUUACCCUUCUCCCCAAACCACACUGAAAAGUCUUAGCAAAUAACCAGGUCUGGAGGGUUGUGUUGUCUCUCAGUAAGUGGACCUGAAAUGUAGUCGCAGUAUUGUCUGCCCAUUGCCACUGUCAGGGUGGCAUUAAGCUUCCCAGACCAGAUAUGCAGCUGCAGGGGGUCCUGUAGCCUCGUCUUUGUGUGGUUGAGCGUAUGUAUGUGUAAGGUUUUGGUGUCUCUUGUUUGGAUGAUAGUUCUGAGAGUGUGGUCCUUCUCGUCCUCCUCUGAUACUGGUGUUUUGUUUUUUUAAAAGAAUGAUUGUAAGAGAGGGGCGUGUGUGAGAGUGUGUGUAUGUGUGUGUGUGUGUGUGUGCUAUAAUGGGAGGUUGGCCUUUUGCCUACUAGGGAAGCCCUGGGGAAUGUUAGGAGCCAACUUGAUCAUAAGGGGGCAAUUGUAGACCAGUAUGGGAUCGGGGGUAGUGUUUAUACUGCAGUAAUCAUUUUCUAUGCACAGGCUGAGUGCCUCAUCCUCUUUGCAAAGGGGGAAAAUGUGCUGGGUGACUGACUAGUAGGCCACGGAGCUGAGUUAAACCAGCAGAGUUCCAAGUUCUAAGAAGCAGAUUGUGGCAUUCUAGAGAGAGGCAUAGAUUUCUGCUUCUGCUACCAUCUUCUGCCCUUUCAAACUUUUUGCAGGCUUAGGCUAUAUCCUGAGACCCAGGAAUCUUCUGCUAGUUCCUUCCUCUUUUACUAGCCCAGAAAG